GGGGAUGUAGCUCAUUGGUAGGGCACUUGCCUAGCAUGUGCAAGGUCCUGGGUUCAAUCCCCAGCACUGCAA
rnacentral:tRNA from 1 species